rnacentral:rRNA from 1 species
UACGUAGGGUGCAAGCGUUGUCCAGAAUUAUUGGGCGUAAUGAGCUCGUAGGCGGUCUGUCGCGUCGGCUGUGAAAACUCGGGGCUCAACUCCGAGCUUGCAGUCGAUACGGGCAGGCUAGAGUUCGGCAGGGGAGACUGGAAUUCCUGGUGUAGCGGUGAAAUGCGCAGAUAUCAGGAGGAACACCGGUGGCGAAGGCGGGUCGCUGGGCCGAUACUGACGCUGAGGAGCGAAAGCGUGGGGAGCGAACAGG